rnacentral:rRNA from 2 species
GGUUAAGCGACUAAGCGUACACGGUGGAUGCCCUGGCAGUCAGAGGCGAUGAAGGACGUGCUAAUCUGCGAUAAGCGUCGGUGAGGUGAUAUGAACCGUUAUAACCGGCGAUUUCCGAAUGGGGAAACCCAGUGUGUUUCGACACACUAUCAUUAACUGAAUCCAUAGGUUAAUGAGGCGAACCGGGGGAACUGAAACAUCUAAGUACCCCGAGGAAAAGAAAUCAACCGAGAUUCCCCCAGUAGCGGCGAGCGAACGGGGAGGAGCCCAGAGCCUGAAUCAGUGUGUGUGUUAGUGGAAGCGUCUGGAAAGGCGCGCGAUACAGGGUGACAGCCCCGUACACAAAAAUGCACAUAUUGUGAGCUCGAUGAGUAGGGCGGGACACGUGGUAUCCUGUCUGAAUAUGGGGGGACCAUCCUCCAAGGCUAAAUACUCCUGACUGACCGAUAGUGAACCAGUACCGUGAGGGAAAGGCGAAAAGAACCCCGGCGAGGGGAGUGAAAAAGAACCUGAAACCGUGUACGUACAAGCAGUGGGAGCCUCUUAAUGGGGUGACUGCGUACCUUUUGUAUAAUGGGUCAGCGACUUAUAUUCUGUAGCAAGGUUAACCGAAUAGGGGAGCCGAAGGGAAACCGAGUCUUAACUGGGCGUUAAGUUGCAGGGUAUAGACCCGAAACCCGGUGAUCUAGCCAUGGGCAGGUUGAAGGUUGGGUAACACUAACUGGAGGACCGAACCGACUAAUGUUGAAAAAUUAGCGGAUGACUUGUGGCUGGGGGUGAAAGGCCAAUCAAACCGGGAGAUAGCUGGUUCUCCCCGAAAGCUAUUUAGGUAGCGCCUCGUGAAUUCAUCUCCGGGGGUAGAGCACUGUUUCGGCAAGGGGGUCAUCCCGACUUACCAACCCGAUGCAAACUGCGAAUACCGGAGAAUGUUAUCACGGGAGACACACGGCGGGUGCUAACGUCCGUCGUGAAGAGGGAAACAACCCAGACCGCCAGCUAAGGUCCCAAAGUCAUGGUUAAGUGGGAAACGAUGUGGGAAGGCCCAGACAGCCAGGAUGUUGGCUUAGAAGCAGCCAUCAUUUAAAGAAAGCGUAAUAGCUCACUGGUCGAGUCGGCCUGCGCGGAAGAUGUAACGGGGCUAAACCAUGCACCGAAGCUGCGGCAGCGACACUAUGUGUUGUUGGGUAGGGGAGCGUUCUGUAAGCCUGUGAAGGUGGCCUGUGAGGGUUGCUGGAGGUAUCAGAAGUGCGAAUGCUGACAUAAGUAACGAUAAAGCGGGUGAAAAGCCCGCUCGCCGGAAGACCAAGGGUUCCUGUCCAACGUUAAUCGGGGCAGGGUGAGUCGACCCCUAAGGCGAGGCCGAAAGGCGUAGUCGAUGGGAAACAGGUUAAUAUUCCUGUACUUGGUGUUACUGCGAAGGGGGGACGGAGAAGGCUAUGUUGGCCGGGCGACGGUUGUCCCGGUUUAAGCGUGUAGGCUGGUUUUCCAGGCAAAUCCGGAAAACCAAGGCUGAGGCGUGAUGACGAGGCACUACGGUGCUGAAGCGACAAAUGCCCUGCUUCCAGGAAAAGCCUCUAAGCAUCAGGUAACAUCAAAUCGUACCCCAAACCGACACAGGUGGUCAGGUAGAGAAUACCAAGGCGCUUGAGAGAACUCGGGUGAAGGAACUAGGCAAAAUGGUGCCGUAACUUCGGGAGAAGGCACGCUGAUAUGUAGGUGAAGCGACUUGCUCGUGGAGCUGAAAUCAGUCGAAGAUACCAGCUGGCUGCAACUGUUUAUUAAAAACACAGCACUGUGCAAACACGAAAGUGGACGUAUACGGUGUGACGCCUGCCCGGUGCCGGAAGGUUAAUUGAUGGGGUUAGCGGUAACGCGAAGCUCUUGAUCGAAGCCCCGGUAAACGGCGGCCGUAACUAUAACGGUCCUAAGGUAGCGAAAUUCCUUGUCGGGUAAGUUCCGACCUGCACGAAUGGCGUAAUGAUGGCCAGGCUGUCUCCACCCGAGACUCAGUGAAAUUGAACUCGCUGUGAAGAUGCAGUGUACCCGCGGCAAGACGGAAAGACCCCGUGAACCUUUACUAUAGCUUGACACUGAACAUUGAGCCUUGAUGUGUAGGAUAGGUGGGAGGCUUUGAAGUGUGGACGCCAGUCUGCAUGGAGCCGGCCUUGAAAUACCACCCUUUAAUGUUUGAUGUUCUAACGUUGGCCCGUAAUCCGGGUUGCGGACAGUGUCUGGUGGGUAGUUUGACUGGGGCGGUCUCCUCCUAAAGAGUAACGGAGGAGCACGAAGGUUGGCUAAUCCUGGUCGGACAUCAGGAGGUUAGUGCAAUGGCAUAAGCCAGCUUGACUGCGAGCGUGACGGCGCGAGCAGGUGCGAAAGCAGGUCAUAGUGAUCCGGUGGUUCUGAAUGGAAGGGCCAUCGCUCAACGGAUAAAAGGUACUCCGGGGAUAACAGGCUGAUACCGCCCAAGAGUUCAUAUCGACGGCGGUGUUUGGCACCUCGAUGUCGGCUCAUCACAUCCUGGGGCUGAAGUAGGUCCCAAGGGUAUGGCUGUUCGCCAUUUAAAGUGGUACGCGAGCUGGGUUUAGAACGUCGUGAGACAGUUCGGUCCCUAUCUGCCGUGGGCGCUGGAGAACUGAGGGGGGCUGCUCCUAGUACGAGAGGACCGGAGUGGACGCAUCACUGGUGUUCGGGUUGUCAUGCCAAUGGCACUGCCCGGUAGCUAAAUGCGGAAGAGAUAAGUGCUGAAAGCAUCUAAGCACGAAACUUGCCCCGAGAUGAGUUCUCCCUGACCCUUUAAGGGUCCUGAAGGAACGUUGAAGACGACGACGUUGAUAGGCCGGGUGUGUAAGCGCAGCGAUGCGUUGAGCUAACCGGUACUAAUGAACCGUGAGGCUUAACCUU